rnacentral:lncRNA from 1 species
GCCUAGGAUUGGAACAACCGUUGGAGCCACUGCAACCCCUGGAGCGGAGACGGGCGCUCACCCGAUGACCUUUGGUGACUAGGGAGCUCCGAGCUCCCAAAAGAGCGCUGCACCCCGGGCGAGGUAAGUGCCAAACCUUGAUUUUUCUUUUUUGUUUUUCUCUUUCUUCUCAUUUGUAUCAUUUUUCUGCCAGCCAGAAGCACAAGGUGGCCUCGGUGGGGCUGGCGCCCCUGAAGGCCGUGAAGAGGGCGGCGCUGUCAACCCUCGGGUCAGCA